rnacentral:rRNA from 1 species
UACGGGGGGGGCAAGCGUUGUUCGGAAUUACUGGGCGUAAAGGGCUCGUAGGCGGCCAACUAAGUCAGACGUGAAAUCCCUCGGCUUAACCGGGGAACUGCGUCUGAUACUGGAUGGCUUGAGUUUGGGAGAGGGAUGCGGAAUUCCUGGUGUAGCGGUGAAAUGCGCAGAUAUCAGGAGGAACACCGGUGGCGAAGGCGGUGGUCUGGGCCGGCACUGACGCUGAGGAGCGAAAGCGUGGGGAGCGAACAGG